rnacentral:lncRNA from 1 species
AUUCUUUAACAGGAAGCUCUGUGAGAGUCAGCCCAGGCAGGCAAAUCGCUCCUCACCCUCCUGUCCCUCUCGGGAUGGACAGAGCCUCAGUGGGGCUGCAGAGCCACAAGCCACCGAGAAGAUGCUGGCUCUGUCCGUCCAUCCACUCCUCUGGCUGUUGGGCUGCGCGCUGUGCCAAGGUCAAUCCCAAACAACACCACAAAGCCCGGAAGUAAAGAACCAUACCACAGAGCCUUUAGUAAACUCAACACUACCAACCAACUUGAGUCUCACCUCUGUGGGUCGAGCUACUACAGCCAAAUCCUCUUCCAUCACUACAAAACUGCCAGAGCUGACUGCGCAAGGUAAGCAUGGAAAAUUCAAAUUUUUGCUCAGGCAGGACUUGUUUACGCAUCCC